GAGUGUGAGAGCGAGAACAGCCCCGCAGGUCCCGAGGCGCUGGCUGGGGACACUGCCGCGGAAAGUUCCCAGUCCCCAGCCGCAGAUCUGCAGAGUUGAAAUGAAAUGUUUUGAGCUCUUCAAGCUGACUCGUCAGAAUCCUGGAGCCUUUUAAAAAAUGACGAAUUGGAAGAAAAAAAUUACUUUAUCAAUAACCAGACUCCACCAGGAUUGACCAAGAUGUUUGUUCCUGGCACUUGUCAUUCUCAGCAAGCACAGCACAGAGAGCAAAUACAAAAGGCCCAAAAUGCAAUGCAUCUUUUAUGGGUAAGCAUGAAAUAGGUUUAUCUGUGGUGGUGUAGUCCAACUUGAGAGGUGGGAAGACAAGGCUUUGGAACCAAUGCCACAAACAUUGUGUUAGUUUUUGUUCAUCUGUAGUAAAAAGUGAAUGCUGACUAGAAUUUCUGGGAAGAUUUAUAGCAUAUGCAAUUUUAAGUAUUCAGGUAACUCUUUAGUUACUGUGUUUUAAUCGUUGAAGCCCAUCAGAGAACAAACCAAUCCUUGUUCUUGGGAUUGAAAAUACUAGAUAUCCCAUCAAGCACCAUUAUCUUGAUAUUUAAAGUAGAAAUAUGCUUCUCCAUUUUGUUUAACCUAGUUAAUAUUGGGGUGGCUUCACAUUUCAGUGCCUUUUCAGUUAUCAAGCAGGGCCAACAUUUUGUUAAACUCUAAACAGUGAAUUAAAAGCACUGAAUGAGCUGAAGCAACCCUCUAAUGCAAAAUGACAAAUUGCACUUAAGCGAUACAUGAACAAAAAAUGAUUUAUGGAUUUUUACAAUGGUCCGAGCAAAUGAAAGCAACAUGAAUUAUACAUCCUAAUGCUCACAAUAUCAUUUUCUAAUAAUACUGUUUUAGUUCAGAUGCUAUACUCUGCUCCUUUCUGUAACAGAAAUUAAUCAAUAAGAGGUCCAGGAAUGUUUUUAAAUUGGGCACUGGUUUGUGAUACUGAUUCCAAAGUGUGUGUGUGUAUGUAUACAUAUGCAUAUAUAUAUAUGUGCGUGCAUACAUUUUUAUUUUGGUUUUGGGGAGGUGGGUUGAUGACGAAUAUUGAACAUGCAUUCUUGUCAGAUUCGUCACAUAUUGUGUCUUUUGGUAGUAAAUAGUCCUUUGAAAACUUUUGUUUUUUCCAUACCAUCUUUAAGAAUGUGAAUAAAUAGAUCUCAUUCAAAAUGACAGUCUUUAUUGCCACAUGAAUUCUUUCUUUAUAAAUUAAAAUGCAUUACCUCAUCUUACUCUUUUCUUCCAUUACUUUGGAUAUUAAAACAUCUUAUUUCUCCAAAAUGUCUCUUAACCUUUUCAUAUUUGUUUUAUCCUCUCUUUUUCAGAUCAUUGUUUUAUACUUUAGCGCAUUAGAAACAUACCUGGGCUAGUGAAAAGGUCAUAGCACCUUAGUUUUGUAGCCUUAGUAGAUAAAAUAUACCCUAUGGGUUAUCUUAAAUUACAGAAAAAAAUCAGUCAAAUAAAAUUUUAUGUGCUGUUUGUGUUUUGAGUCUGAAAAAUACAAAAAUCUAGUUUCCUUUGUGUUAUGAUGAUUGACUACUCCUAGCAUUUUUAUUUAACCAUUUGUGGUUUGUAUAAGUGGAUAAUUUUUGGUAGGUAUGUAGAUUUUAAGUGAAGGUGGUGUCUGUGCUGUGUUGCAUCCUCAACCACAGGAAACUGCUAAUCACCCAGAGGCCUCUAAAGUCACAUUAUUAGGCUUAAUCUUAAUUAUCUGGGUUUAUUAAAAAAAAAAAAAAAA
rnacentral:lncRNA from 1 species